ensembl:snRNA U6 U6 spliceosomal RNA
GUGUUCCCUUCAGCAGCACAUACACUAAAAUUGGAAUGAUACAGAGAAGAUUAGCAGAUUAUUAGCAGAUGAUGCAAACUUGUGAAGCGUUCCAUGUUUUU